rnacentral:tRNA from 1 species
GCUCACUUGGCGAAAUUGGUAUACGCAGCAGGCUUAAAAUCUGCUUCUCAUUGCGAGAUUGUCGGUUCAAGUCCGACAGUGAGUA